rnacentral:rRNA from 1 species
GACGAACGCUGGCGGCGUCCUUAACACAUGCAAGUCGAACGGAAAGGCUCCAGCUUGCUGGAGUACUCGAGUGGCGAACGGGUGAGUAACACGUGGGUGAUCUGCCCUGCACUUCGGGAUAAGCCUGGGAAACUGGGUCUAAUACCGGAUAGGACCGCACUUUGGUGUGUGUGGUGGAAAGGUUUUUCUGGUGUGGGAUGAGCUCGCGGCCUAUCAGUUUGUUGGUGGGGUAAUGGCCUACCAAGACGGCGACGGGUAGCCGGCCUGAGAGGGUGGACGGUCACAUUGGGACUGAGAUACGGCCCAGACUCCUACGGGAGGCAGCAGUGGGGAAUAUUGCACAAUGGGGGAAACCCUGAUGCAGCGACGCCGCGUGGGGGAUGAAGGCCUUCGGGUUGUAAACUCCUUUCGCUAGGGACGAAGCUUUUUGUGACGGUACCUGGAGAAGAAGCACCGGCUAACUACGUG